ACUUGCUGCCGACCAACACAACAGCUCUGUUAGCUGAAAUGCCAACACAAACACAGUAGCAUCCUUGGGUAUGUGGUAGAUUGCUUCUGUGCCUCUAGAAAGUGCUCUUCUGGCUUAUGUGGUUACCAUGAAUGGACUCACUGUGCUGACAGAUAUGGAGAACAUACUCAACAUCUUUAGAUUUCGUCCUUGAAACCACAGAGUGACUGCAAAAACUCACCAACAACCACAAGUUUUAAAAAAUAUCACUGGUCUUCUGACAAGUAAGUUUUCCAUUUCAAGUUUUGUUUUCUCCCUAACUUGUAUUUCAUCUCUGUGUUUAUUAUAUGAAUGACCAUGCUCAUUUUCUGUGCAAAGUGCAUGACUGUGAAUUGUAUAGUGUGAAAGUUUG
rnacentral:lncRNA from 1 species